rnacentral:rRNA from 1 species
UCCUUAGUUACCAGCACGUUAUCGGUGGGCACUCUAAGGAGACUGCCGGUGACAAACCGGAGGAAGGUGGGGAUGACGUCAAGUCAUCAUGGCCCUUACGGCCUGGGCUACACACGUGCUACAAUGGUCGGUACAAAGGGUUGCCAAGCCGCGAGGUGGAGCUAAUCCCAUAAAACCGAUCGUAGUCCGGAUCGCAGUCUGCAACUCGACUGCGUGAAGUCGGAAUCGCUAGUAAUCGUGAAUCAGAAUGUCACGGUGAAUACGUUCCCGGGCCUU